rnacentral:rRNA from 1 species
GCCAGACUCCUACGGGAGGCAGCAGUGAGGAAUAUUGGUCAAUGGACGAGAGUCUGAACCAGCCAAGUAGCGUGAAGGAUGACUGCCCUAUGGGUUGUAAACUUCUUUUAUAUGGGAAUAAAAUGUUCCACGUGUGGGAUUUUGUAUGUACCAUAUGAAUAAGGAUCGGCUAACUCCGUGCCAGCAGCCGCGGUAAUACGGAGGAUCCGAGCGUUAUCCGGAUUUAUUGGGUUUAAAGGGAGCGUAGGUGGAUUGUUAAGUCAGUUGUGAAAGUUUGCGGCUCAACCGUAAAAUUGCAGUUGAAACUGGCAGUCUUGAGUACAGUAGAGGUGGGCGGAAUUCGUGGUGUAGCGGUGAAAUGCUUAGAUAUCACGAAGAACUCCGAUUGCGAAGGCAGCUUACCAGACUGCGACUGACGCUGAAGCACGAGAGCGUGGGUAGCGAACAGGAUUAGAUACCCUCGUAUGC